rnacentral:lncRNA from 1 species
CUGGUGAGGCCCAGAGCCUCACCAGUCCCCCAGAAAACGGAGUAUUGUUUCCAUCCAAACCUUGCACUGAAAGGAGCCUGUCAGCAGGAAGUGACCUCGUGAGACAACUGUGGGGAGAGCAAAGGGCCGGGGAGAGAAAGGCCUCAUUCUCACUGCAAACAGGAAAAGGAAAGAGAAAAAGCAAGCUCUGUCUCCACACAAGGUUUGCUGGGCUGGCUAUGAACUGUUCCAGUACGUUCCAUCAAAUAGACGCCUUCAUAGAAUCAAGCCGAGCGCGAACGCCGUGUCUGGGGCUCCCACUCCCGGGACACACACGCGGGCUGGCUUACACAUGCUCUUGCUCUCUCGCGCUCUGGGAGAGCGCUUAUAUGGGCUUCAUGAGGCUAAGUAAUAAACACUUUGUCUUCACCCUGCUAUUUAUGGGUUGCUUGGGGCAUCCUGUGCUCUCCACUGCCCUUACCUGAACAGACGGCUCAUGCAGACCCGGAGUUUAAUAGGGACAACAGUAAAUCUGAGAGGCUGUGUGUGUCCCACGCGCUCCUGUUUUCCCAGCCACCCAUGCUAGUUGCAGAGAAAAGCCAACCUGUAUCCCUUCGUUUAUGCUCUGUGUGCCCUUCCUGGAGAGAUCCCUUCAUUCUUCAGCAAUGGAUCAAAGAACUCUGAAAACAAGAACAACCCCGACAGCUGCAAACCACGAGCCCUCACCUCCAGCAGAGGUUUUCGGGAAACUCUGGACGACCACGCGCAUGCAGAGGGCUCUCAGAGCUUCCAGGUCCUGUAAGAAGAGAUGGAGUCAUAGCUGCGCCCUGUCCACUCUCGGGCUGUCACACAAGCCUGGAGCCCAGCCAUUUCUCGGCCUUGUCUUCAUCUUGGGCUAACCGGUCGUCUCCUGCAAACAGACAGCACGGAGAAGGAUGAGUGAACUCGGCCUCUCCCCACAGAAUACAGUUCGCCAUUACAGCGCUGAUUAAAUACAGGACAUUAUCUCACCAUAAUGCCCUCCUGGCGGCGUUCCCAGGAAAAUUCUAACUAAUCAUAAAAAUAGAAAGAAAAACGCAACCUAAAUUCCAUUCCUCGUCUUAAAUGAGUGAUGUGUUCACUUUUAUUUAUUUUUCUGGAAGCGAGGCGGGAAAAGAAAAUGAAUUUUAGGGCUUAGAAAAACAAGCUACUAAUAGUACUAAGUAGAGCUGGGGCGGUGGUGCAGACAGCUUAGCUCUAGCAGGGAUGUAGCCGGCAUGGCACGGGUGAGUCCUGGCCCUGCUCCUGGCUGAAAACUUAAGAGUUUAGAACUGGAGCACCUGGCAGGGCAAAGGCAGGAUGGGGUGAGGGAAAGUUGUGGGGUUGAGUGUGGACCCCCCCAACCCCCUACAAAUGCACACACAAGCUAGGCGCUCAAUAGCUUUCUUAUAGCCCAGGUAGGCAAAUCCUCUUCCAAUAUACCUUUGAAAAUAAUGCCUGAUCUUUCUCCAGCAGCAUUCUUUUUGGAAACACAGGCAUAGUUUAGGUAUUUUUCUCCCUGGAAGGUUCUUUCCUGGAAGUUCACCCAAUUAAUUCCUACUCACACAUUUUAGAGAUCUGAACAGUAAGAAGCCUUCUCUAAGAACCCCUACCCUGACUCCAGUCCAGGGGCUGGUCCUGUAAACCUUCUCUUCAUAACAGCCAUGUGACUGUAAUUAAUGCAAUAACUGCAUAGUUGAUUGUUUAACAUGGUUGUCUGUCCCCUCCCUUAGAUUAAAAAUGUGUUUGUCUUAUUCCUGACUUUGUAAGUACUAGGUACAAAGUAGCUGCCCAAUACAUGCCUGUGUUGGAUGAGUGCUGACGGGUCACGGUGGGCGCCAAAGUGGAUGGUACCUUAUGCUACUUCGGUGGGGCUCAGGUGUAGCAGCAACAAACACAUGUAGAACCAGAUCACGGUGGGUCCACACCAACAAGGACCAAGGACCAAGCUCCUCCCUAACAAUUUCUGCUCCUUCCUCCUGUGAAGUGUUUUUUGUCGUUGUUGUUGCUGUUGUUAUUUUUUGAUGGAGUCUUGCUUUUUUGCCCAGGCUGGAGUGCAGAGGUACGAACUUGACUCACUGCAGCCUCCACCUUCUGGGUUCAAGUGAUUCUCCUGCUUCAGCCUCCUGAGUAGCUGGGACUGCAGAUGUACACCGUCAUGUCCGGCUAAUUUUUGUAUUUUUAUAGAGAUAGGGUUUUCCUCAUGUUAGCCAGGCUAGUCUCAAACUCCUGACCUCAGGUGAUCUGCCCACCUCAGCCUCCUAAAGCGUUGGGAUUACAGGCAUGAGCCACUGUGCGCAGCUCCUUCUGUGAAGUCUUCAUAGAUAAACCAUGGGAGAGUUAAAAAUCCUGAAAACCAGCUUCUGAAAUGCUUAUCUUUUUUUACUUUUUAUUUUAAAUAGAGACAAGGGUCUUGCUGUGUUGCCUAGGCUGGUCUCAAACUCCUGAGCUCAAGUGAUCCUCCCACUUUGGCCUCCCAAAGUGCUGGGACUACAGGCAUGAGCCACUGCGCCUGGCUCUGGGAUGCUUCUCUUAAUAUUAUACUGGAUGAAAAGAAAAUAAAAGACAUCCCACACCCAUCUUGCCUCUCCCUGUCCCCAGUCUGGCAUAAGAAUCCCACACUGCCAGCCCCCAUCUUAGCUACUGCUGAAGUAAUGGGCACUGCUACUAGAUGGCAAAGUUCUAGCUGGGCUAAUUAAGCAGACUGAGCUAAUAACCUUCCAUUUUGGGACUGGUGUUAUUCAUAAUUUAAUGUAUUGCUGCUGAAACAUUAACCUUUCGACAACUGGCAUGUUGCCCACAGCGGCCCAAGUGCUGACCAUCUUUCAGUAAAAUGAGUAUUAUUGUUAAAACAGGUAUAAAUCAUUCAUGGCUGCAGCUUUUGUGUCAGACCUUACGUGAAAGUACGCAGUAAGCUGGGUAAUUUAUUUACUUUUUGGUGAUUAUUUUUUAUGAUUUUAUCAUCAUAUUCAAUGAUUCAUAAACAUUGGCCUGAUGCCAUUUGGUAAUCAUUUUACAUUUUAAAUAUUGUGUGGCUGUUCUGCUUUUCAUCUUUAAAAACUUCAGGAUUGAUACCGGGCAACUUAAUUCAGACACAAAUGCAAUUUCAUUUGAAAGAAGGCGGUGGGUGGAGGGGGAAAAGAAUCCCGGCCCCUUCUUUUUAAUAAACCAUUUUCAACAGAGCUGUUAGGAGCUUCCACUUGUUACAACAUUGCACUUACUGUAGCAAACUUUCUUUGAAGUUUAACACACAGAGGGUGCCUUGAAAUCUGAAUAAAAGCACAGGAAAACAGUUAACAAGCUUCUGGUUGGAAAGACGAUGUGAUUGAGCCAAGGGUGGAGAGGGGCCUGGAGAUGCUGGCCCCGGGCCAAGAAGGUUGGAAGCCACUAGCCCUCCUCCCAGCACCUGGUUGGGGAAUGUGAUUACAGUCCCCCAGGGACCUGGAAACUCUUUACUGCCUGCCUGCCUGCCUGCUCCGGCUGCCUGCCCCGAAUUGGGCUCCUAUAACUGUUCCAGAAAGUAGCUUUUGCUCCUUAUGACUCCCAGUGCUGGAGACCGGGUGGUGGCUGGGUCUUUCAUGGUCUGGGAGCUCAGGGGAUCUCCCUCCAUCUCGUAGGCGCUCUUACAGCAGCCCUGCACAUUUCCUAAACCAAUGAAAACUCAGAGGUCUUCGUAUGCAAUAGCUGAAGCCGAACUUCUUUAUUUUUUUUUUUGAGACAGAGUCUCACUCUGUCACCCAGGGUGGAGUGCAGUGAUGCGAUCUCAGCUCAUUGUAACCUCCACCUCCUGGGUUCAAGCGAUUCUUGUACUUCAGCCUCCCAAGUAGCUGGGAUUAUAGGUGUGCACCAUGAAGCCCAGCUAAUUUUUUUUUUUUUUUUAGUAGAGACGGGGUUUCACCUUUUGGCCAGGCUGGUCUCAAACUCCUGACCUCAAGGGAUCCACCUGCCUCAGCCUCCCCAAAUGCUGGGAUUACAGGGGGAUUGCAGGCACAAGCCACCAUGCCCGGCAUUGAAGCUGAACUUCUGAUGGUGGGAAGGGAGUGGGACAGGAGAAGGCAGAGAAUGGGGCAUCAUGUUAAAACUCUUCUUCAAGGCAGAAGUAUGCCCGGGAGUAAGCUUGCCUUUAGAACCUCAUUUCAUGUCAGGUGUGCUGGGACAGAGGGGAACUCAGUCAAGAAGACUGGCACCUUUGCCCAAAACACAGGAGAUGAGAUCUUAAAACACAGCCAUAAGUAUGUGCUGUAAAGAAACGGCCACAGGGAAAGCCAAGGCAAGAGGAGAAAUAUUUUUUCUUUGCAUCUCAUCUCAUCUCUUCUCUUCUCUUUCUCUGUCUCUCUCCCCCUCCUUCCCUCCCUUCCUUCUUUCGAGGUGGGGUCUUGUUCUGUCACCCAGGCUGGAGUGCAGUGGCACCAUCACAACUCUCUGCAGCCUCAACCUCCCAGGCUCAAGCAGUUCUUCUGCCUCAGCCUCCCAAGUAGCUGGGACUAGAGGUGCUUGCCUCCUCACCACACCCAGCUAAUUUUAAUUUUUUUUUUUUUUUUUUGUAGAGACAGGACUUGCUCUGUUGCCCAGGAUGGUCUUGAACUCCUGUUCUCAAGCAAUCCUCCCCACUUGGCCUCCCAAAGUGCUGGCCAUACAGGCAUGAGCUGCUGAGCCUGGCCUAGAAAGAUUUCUUUCUGGACAGUUUGAAUAGGGUUAGCUCUGAGACAGCUCUUACUGUCUUUUCUAACUUGUUUAUGUAAUUUCCCAUGAAUAGCUUUCAUGACUUUUCAACUGGAUUAUCUGGUUUUAGGUUUUACCUGGAUUUAUAUAUACAUAUGUCUCAAGUUAUUUAAUUUUUCAUUGUGUUAAAAUAUAGACAACAUAAAAUUUGCCAUUUUACCCAUUGUUCAGUGUACAAUUCAGUGCUGUUCAUCACACUGGCAGUGUUGUGAGACUAUGGCCACGAUCUCUUUCCAACAUUUCUCGUCACUCUAAACGUAAACUUUUUACCCAUUAAGCAAUAAGUCCUAUUCCCUCUUUCCCCGUCCCCGUGGCCCCUCCAGCCCCUGGAAACCUCUCAUCUACUUUCCGUCUCUAUGAAUUUGCUAUUCUGAACAUUUCACAUAAAUGGCGCUGUACAAUAUUUGUCCCUUUGUAUCUGGCUUCUUUCACUGAACAUAAUGUUUUCAAGGUUCAUCCAUGUCAUAAGAUGUAUCUAACCUUAAUUCAUUUUAUACCAAAUAAUAUUCCACUGUAUGGAUAUACCACAUUAUGUUUAUCCACUCCCCUGUUGAUGGACGCUUGGGUUGUUAGUCUCUUUGGCUAUUGGAAUAAUGUUGCUGUCAACAUGAGUGUACAAGUAUCUGCGUCCCUUGUGUAUCUAUUUUUUUUUUUUUUGAGAUGGAGUCUCGCUUUGUCACCCAGGCUGGAGUGCAGUGGCACGAUCUCAGAUCACUGAAACCUCUGUCUCCUGGGUUCAAGCGAUUCUCCUGCCUCAGCCUCCUGAGCAGCUGGGACUACAAGCAUGGGCCACCAGACCCAGUUAAUUUUUUUGUAUUUUUAGUAGAGACAGGGUUUCACCAUAUUGGCCAGGCUGGUCUCGAACUCCUGACCUCGUGAUCCACCCGUCACAGCCUUCCAAAGUGCUGGGAUUACAGGUGUGAGCCACCGUGCCCCACCUGUUUUGUCUUUGAGAUGGAGUUUUGCUCUCUCACCUAGGCUGGAGUGCAGUGGCAUGAUCUUGGCUCACUGCAACCUCUACCUCCUGGGUUCAAGUGAUUCUCCUCCCUCAGCUUCCUGAGUAGCUGGGAUGACAGGCACAUGCCACCACACCCGGAUAAUUUUUGUAUCUUUAGUAGAGAUGGGGUUUUGCCAUGUUGGCCAGGUUGGUCUUGAACUCCUGACCUCAGGCGAUCCUCCUACCCUGGCCUCCCAAAGUGUUGGGAUUACAGGCGUGAGCCACUGCACCUGGCUGUAUAUCUAUGUUUUGACCAUCACAUUUUUUUUUUCAUCUGAUCUACCUUUAUCUUGGAUGCUCUGUUUGCUAGCUUGGCAGAGCCAGCGUGGGCACACGUGGCAAAGCCAUUUAUGCCUGGGAAUUCCUCUCUGACUGUCAACGCCGCCGCUUCAAAGGACUUCUUGCAGUCAUCCUCUGGCAUUGCCACGGCUGGUGCUGGUUGUGAAUUCUGCACCAGCAACCUCCACCCCCUACAUUGGACUUGAUAAAACAAGCUGCUUCUCAGGUAUGCUAAAGAACAAAUUAAGAAACAGAAUCACCUGGGAUGAGUGAAAUUCCCUUUCAAUCAUGUCAGCCGGAGCAGAGGUUGUCAUGAAAUUUGAUGUUAGGGAUUUAUUUCCUAAUAUACAGUCUAAAAGGGAAAACAGUGUAAGAGCUGAAAUGUGAAUUGGACAUGUCUAUAGAGUGUGAAUUGGAUUCAAGACAAAAUAUUGUGAAUGGUUAAUAGGGUCAGUCUAAGUACACUUCCUGAAAUAAUCUCUUGGAUAUGCAAAUAUUCUGAGAGCUACACUGUCAAAUAGCUAUUGUAUCCUCUUAUCUAUGUGUUCACAGAACGGCUACAUGUUAUAACAAAUGAAAAAUGUGAAUUUAAAAAAUAAUGCCACCCUAAAAUAAUACUUUACUUUGAAUAGCAAUUUUUGUUGUCGGAGUUUUUUAUUUUUGUCACACCAGACAGUUAGGUUCUUACCACAGCUUUAUUUGGAAACAUUAAGAGAUGAGCUCUGGCCGGGCACAGUGGCUCACACCUGUAAUCCCUGCACUUUGGGAGGCUGAGGCAGGUGGAUUACCUGUGGUCAGGAGUUUGAGACCAGCC